rnacentral:rRNA from 1 species
CCCUUAGAUGUUCUGGGCCGCACGCGCGCUACACUGACGAUGGCAACGAGUUUUUCCUUCGCCGAAAGGUGUGGGUAAUCUUUUGAAACAUCGUCGUGCUGGGGAUAGAUCAUUGCAAUUUUUGAUCUUGAACGAGGAAUUCCUAGUAAACGCAGAUCAUCAAUCUGCAUUGAUUACGUCCCUGCCCUUUGUACACACCGCCCGUCGCACCUACCGAUUGAAUGGUCCGGUGAAGCCUCGGGAUUGUGGCCAGUUCACUUUAUUGGGAGUUGGCUGCGAGAACUUGUCUAAACCUUAUCAUUUAGAGGAAGGUGAAGUCGUAACA